rnacentral:lncRNA from 1 species
UCAUGUGGAUGUUUCUUGCAUGGUGAUGCCUAUUGGUGACCUGGUUAGGACAGUGGUGUUUCAUAGAUUAAAUUUUAGUCAUGCUUCCUCCUUUUAACUUUCUGGAAUUUUGUGAAAAAGUCGUGUAUAGAAUUUAUCACCCAAUUCAUUCGAUUUCCUUGUGCCAUUUGUUCUCUGCAAAAGCUUGACAAAGGUGACUGUGCUGGUGCUCCGCAAUUCAAGCUGUUUUAAUAGUGGAGAGCAUUUCCCUCGGCCUGCCUCUCUCUCUUCCUGACCUCUCUGCUGUGGCAUUCAUUAAACUCCAGAUCCUGGCUCAAGUCAAAGAGUUCAGAUCUCCUCCUUGGCUAAAGAACUCUGCAUUGUGGCUUUGCUUUGAACUUCAGCUCCUCCGAGUGCAAGGGUCACAUGUGAAUUUGUUAUGCUUCCUGGCACAUGUUUC